GCUAGCAGGCGAGUACUGGUUAGAUGCGUCCUGAGCGCUAUGCCAACUUUCACACUGUCUGUUCUUCGAGAGCCAAAGAAACUCCUCAAGGAAAUUGACAAAUGCCGGCAUAGGUUCCUCUGGAAACAGGAUGAGGAGAUCACAUGUGGCAGCUGCAAGGUAAAUUGGUCGGUGGUGUGCACUCCCACAUCGCAUGGAGGACUGGGGAUCCUCGACCUCGAAUGUUUCAGUAGUGCCCUUAGACUGCGGUGGCUUUGGAUCUCCUGGACUGACCCGGGGCGGCCAUGGGUAGGCAAGGAGCCACCAUGCAACGCCAGCGACGAGGCCCUUUUCGUGGCGGUGACCACGGUCACCAUCGGCGAUGGUGCAACAGCACUCUUCUGGCACUCCUCCUGGAUCGGUUCGACCACCCUUGCCAGCGCAUACCCCAUCCUCUACAAGCAUUCUAGGCGCAAAAACAGGACGGUGCGCGAUGCGCUCAGGGAUGAGACCUGGAUAAAGGACCUGCGUCAUGGAAAUGUUCAGCCACUGCUGCCGGCCGGAAUACAUCCGGUUGCACCGCAUGAUCACAAUGGCCGCCACCGAGCUAACAGAGGGACGCAGGGACUAGAUUCGGUGGACUAUGGAUGCAAAGGGCCAAUACUCGACAAGAUCAGCCUAUGCCACGCAAUUCCAGGGCAGAGUGCAAGUUGA
rnacentral:rRNA from 1 species